rnacentral:rRNA from 1 species
GCAGUCGACGGUGAAGAGGAGCUUGCUCCUUGGAUCAGUGGCGAACGGGUGAGUAACACGUGAGCAAUCUGCCCUUGACUCUGGGAUAACUGCGGGAAACUGUAGCUAAUACCGGAUAUUACCUUGGAAGGCAUCUUCUGGGGUGGAAAGAAUUUUGGUCAAGGAUGAGCUCGCGGCCUAUCAGCUAGUUGGUGAGGUAAUGGCUCACCAAGGCGACGACGGGUAGCCGGCCUGAGAGGGUGACCGGCCACACUGGGACUGAGACACGGCCCAGACUCCUACGGGAGGCAGCAGUGGGGAAUAUUGCACAAUGGGCGCAAGCCUGAUGCAGCAACGCCGCGUGAGGGACGAAGGCCUUCGGGUUGUAAACCUCUUUUAGUAGGGAAGAAGCGACUGGGUUUUCCUGGGAGUGACGGUACCUGCAGAAAAAGCACCGGCUAACUACGUGCCAGCAGCCGCGGUAAUACGUAGGGUGCAAGCGUUGUCCGGAAUUAUUGGGCGUAAAGAGCUCGUAGGCGGUUUGUCGCGUCUGCUGUGAAAACCCGAGGCUCAACCUCGGGCCUGCAGUGGGUACGGGCAGACUAGAGUGCGGUAGGGGAGAUUGGAAUUCCUGGUGUAGCGGUGGAAUGCGCAGAUAUCAGGAGGAACACCAAUGGCGAAGGCAGAUCUCUGGGCCGUAACUGACGCUGAGGAGCGA